rnacentral:rRNA from 1 species
AUUGAACGCUGGCGGCAGGCCUAACACAUGCAAGUCGAGCGGCAGCGGAAAGUAGCUUGCUACUUUGCCGGCGAGCGGCGGACGGGUGAGUAAUGUCUGGGAAACUGCCUGAUGGAGGGGGAUAACUACUGGAAACGGUAGCUAAUACCGCAUGACCUCGAAAGAGCAAAGUGGGGGAUCUUCGGACCUCACGCCAUCGGAUGUGCCCAGAUGGGAUUAGCUAGUAGGUGAGGUAAUGGCUCACCUAGGCGACGAUCCCUAGCUGGUCUGAGAGGAUGACCAGCCACACUGGAACUGAGACACGGUCCAGACUCCUACGGGAGGCAGCAGUGGGGAAUAUUGCACAAUGGGCGCAAGCCUGAUGCAGCCAUGCCGCGAGUGUGAAGAAGGCCUUAGGGUUGUAAAGCACUUUCAGCGAGGAGGAAGGCACCAUACUUAAUACGUGUGGUGAUUGACGUUACUCGCAGAAGAAGCACCGGCUAACUCCGUGCCAGCAGCCGCGGUAAUACGGAGGGUGCAAGCGUUAAUCGGAAUUACUGGGCGUAAAGCGCACGCAGGCGGUUUGUUAAGUCAGAUGUGAAAUCCCCGCGCUUAACGUGGGAACUGCAUUUGAAACUGGCAAGCUAGAGUCUUGUAGAGGGGGGUAGAAUUCCAGGUGUAGCGGUGAAAUGCGUAGAGAUCUGGAGGAAUACCGGUGGCGAAGGCGGCCCCCUGGACAAAGACUGACGCUCAGGUGCGAAAGCGUGGGGAGCAAACAGG